AUGAACGCUGGCGGCGUGCCUAAUACAUGCAAGUCGAGCGAACGGACGAGAAUCUUGCUUCUCUGAUGUUAGCGGCGGACGGGUGAGUAACACGUGGAUAACCUACCUAUAAGACUGGGAUAACUUCGGGAAACCGGAGCUAAUACCGGAUAAUAUUUUGAACCGCAUGGUUCAAAAGUGAAAGACGGUCUUGCUGUCACUUAUAGAUGGAUCCGCGCUGCAUUAGCUAGUUGGUAAGGUAACGGCUUACCAAGGCAACGAUGCAUAGCCGACCUGAGAGGGUGAUCGGACACACUGGAACUGAGACACGGUCCAGACUCCUACGGGAGGAAGCAGUAGGGAAUCUUCCGCAAUGGGCGAAAGCGUGACGGAGCAACGCCGCGUGAGUGAUGAAGGUCUUAGGAUCGUAAAACUCUGUUAGUAGGGAAGAACAUAUGUGUAAGUAACUGUGCACAUAUUGACGGUACCUAAUCAGAAAGCCACGGCUAACUACGUG
rnacentral:rRNA from 1 species